rnacentral:rRNA from 1 species
UAACACAUGCAAGUCGAACGAUGAAGCCCAGCUUGCUGGGUGGAUUAGUGGCGAACGGGUGAGUAACACGUGAGUAACCUGCCCUUGACUCUGGGAUAAGCGUUGGAAACGACGUCUAAUACCGGAUACGAGCUUCCACCGCAUGGUGAGUUGCUGGAAAGAAUUUUGGUCAAGGAUGGACUCGCGGCCUAUCAGCUUGUUGGUGAGGUAACGGCUCACCAAGGCGACGACGGGUAGCCGGCCUGAGAGGGUGACCGGCCACACUGGGACUGAGACACGGCCCAGACUCCUACGGGAGGCAGCAGUGGGGAAUAUUGCACAAUGGGCGAAAGCCUGAUGCAGCAACGCCGCGUGAGGGACGACGGCCUUCGGGUUGUAAACCUCUUUUAGCAGGGAAGAAGCGAAAGUGACGGUACCUGCAGAAAAAGCACCGGCUAACUACGUGCCAGCAGCCGCGGUAAUACGUAGGGUGCAAGCGUUGUCCGGAAUUAUUGGGCGUAAAGAGCUCGUAGGCGGUUUGUCGCGUCUGCUGUGAAAUCCCGAGGCUCAACCUCGGGUCUGCAGUGGGUACGGGCAGACUAGAGUGCGGUAGGGGAGAUUGGAAUUCCUGGUGUAGCGGUGGAAUGCGCAGAUAUCAGGAGGAACACCGAUGGCGAAGGCAGAUCUCUGGGCCGCUACUGACGCUGAGGAGCGAAAGGGUGGGGAGCAAACAGGCUUAGAUACCCUGGUAGUCCACCCCGUAAACGUUGGGCGCUAGAUGUGGGGACCAUUCCACGGUUUCCGUGUCGUAGCUAACGCAUUAAGCGCCCCGCCUGGGGGAGUACGGCCGCAAGGCUAAAACUCAAAGGAAUUGACGGGGGGCCCGCACAAGCGGCGGAGCAUGCGGAUUAAUUCGAUGCAACGCGAAGAACCUUACCAAGGCUUGACAUAUACGAGAACGGGCCAGAAAUGGUCAACUCUUUGGACACUCGUAAACAGGUGGUGCAUGGUUGUCGUCAGCUCGUGUCGUGAGAUGUUGGGUUAAGUCCCGCAACGAGCGCAACCCUCGUUCUAUGUUGCCAGCACGUAAUGGUGGGAACUCAUGGGAUACUGCCGGGGUCAACUCGGAGGAAGGUGGGGACGACGUCAAAUCAUCAUGCCCCUUAUGUCUUGGGCUUCACGCAUGCUACAAUGGCCAGUACAAAGGGCUGCAAUACCGUAAGGUGGAGCGAAUCCCAAAAAGCUGGUCCCAGUUCGGAUUGAGGUCUGCAACUCGACCUCAUGAAGUCGGAGUCGCUAGUAAUCGCAGAUCAGCAACGCUGCGGUGAAUACGUUCCCGGGCCUUGUACACACCGCCCGUCAAGUCAUGAAAGUCGGUAACACCCGAAGCCAGUGGCCUAACCGCAAGGAUGGAGCUGUCUAAGGUGGGAUCGGUAAUUAGGACUAAGUCGUA